rnacentral:rRNA from 1 species
UACGUAGGGUGCGAGCGUUGUCCGGAUUUAUUGGGCGUAAAGAGCUCGUAGGCGGCUUGUUGCGUCGACUGUGAAAACCUGCGGCUCAACCCUGGGCCUGCAUUCGAUACGGGCAGACUAGAGUUCGGUAGGGGAGACUGGAAUUCCUGGUGUAGCGGUGAAAUGCGCAGAUAUCAGGAGGAACACCGGUGGCGAAGGCGGGUCUCUGGGGCCGAAACUGACGCUGAGGAGCGAAAGCGUGGGGAGCAAACAGG